CGGGGCGUAGCUUAGUCCGGUUAAAGCGCACGUCUGGGGGGCGUGAGAGCGGUGGUUCGAAUCCACUCGCCCCGA
rnacentral:tRNA from 1 species